ACGUAUUAUACUGUAAGUAUUUUUCUAGAACUGCUAAUGAAGUACAUGAUGUUAUGUCGUAUGUGGUACUGUCUUAUGCACUAACAUUUACCUUUGUUGGUAUUGCUACUGUAGUUACUUUUACCACGAAAGAGAUAAAAACAUACCAACAUAUCAUUUUCUAUGCGCUUGCACUAUGUACUUUUACACAUGGAGGUCAAUUCUGUUCCGAUCAGAACGAUAAGUUGCAUGAAAUACUAUGUAAGGUUUCAUGGUACACCUGGAACGUCGAAAACAGAAAAAUGUACCUAAUAAUUCUCACAAACGUUAAGCAAUCAUUGGAUUUUUAUUUCACAUUUGGUAUAAUAAUUAACCACGAAUUUUUGUUACAGGUACUUAUAUGAAGAAGUAUUUUAUGACAUUAAUUUAAUAACUAUGUUGUAGAUGGUUAAAUUUAUUUUUUCUGCUGUUACACUUAUAAGAAAUUUAAUUUAAAUUAUAAUCUUGGGACGAAAUAUAGUAAUAAUUUAUGUUAAUGUUUAUCACAGAAAUUAUAAUGAUAAUAGUUAUUUUCUAUUAGUUAAAAUAAUUUAUUUAAUAAAUUAUAUUACUGCUACUUUUUCAAAUAUGUAUUGUAUUUUUACCACACGAUAAAAAAAUUCAAAAUAAUAUCUUAUUACUGGUAAACAAUUUAAACAUUUUAAUUAUUUUUCUUAUUUUCUCAAGUCGCCCGGGCACUUAGUAUGAUUCAGGGUGGUAUCCGACAAAUUGAUGUUGCGAUAGCAGACAGUGUGAAAGCAGACUUGUAAAGAGAAACCGAGAAACGCGUAGUGUACGUAGAAAGCCUGGAUAGGGUAGACCAAGGUGCACAACCAUCAGGCAAGACCGUUACAUCACCCAAAAUGCAAGAAGCAAGACCAGAAUAUCGGUUACCUUGAUACGUCGCCAAUUGCACAUCGUCACUGGUAGAAGAGUAUCUGUUACAGCUAUUCGUGUCUAGACCACUUAGAAGAGUACUCCUCACUGAUCAACACCGACAAGACAGGGUGCAAUGGGCACGAGAGAGACAACAUUGACCGAAUAGAACGCCGUGAUGUAUUUUGAUGAGCACAAGUGUGGUACAUAACUAUACGAAACGAGUUCGGACGUGUAGGCCAAGAAAUCUUCCAAGGCAACAAGGAUUUGUCCAAGAAGUUCACGCUUUUAGAGGUGGCUCGAUAAUGGUUUGGGGUGGCAUCGCUCUACAUCUCCGGACGCCAUUUGUAACUGCAACAUGAUCAUCACAAACUUUGUCAACCCCAUUUCCGAGGAGAUAGGAGUAGAAUUCCAUUUAUUAAACAACAACGCACGGCCUCAUAGGGCACGAAGCGUUCUUAAUAGUUCUUGAAAUUUCGCAUCUUCCUUUGCCAUCGACGUCACCCGACCUGAAUCCCAUCGAACACAUGUGGGAUGUUCUUCAAAGGGCAUUAGAUCCUCACAUCAUACUUCUGCAGUUACGAGAUGCCUUACGUUAAAUCUGGGAAAAUGCAAACAUGCCUCAUCGUGUUAAAGUUGUUGUGGAAGUUAAAAAUGGCCCUACAGGAUAUUGAACCGUUUUUCAAAACCUUUCAUUUUGCAAUUACAUUUACUUUAUUUUUAAAAGGAGUUGCAUUGUAUUAUUUUUUAUUUUUGUAAAAAUCAACGUACUUUGGGAAUAUUUAUCUCGA